rnacentral:rRNA from 1 species
GACGAACCGUGCGAACGUUGUUCGGAUUCACUGGGCUUAAAGGGCGCGUAGGCGGACUGCCAAGUCAGGGGUGAAAGCCCCCGGCCCAACCGGGGAAGUGCCUCUGAUACUGGUGGUCUCGAGCGGGAUAGGGGCAGCUGGAACUUCCGGUGGAGCGGUGAAAUGCGUAGAUAUCGGAAGGAACGCCGGUGGCGAAAGCGGGCUGCUGGAUCCCUCCUGACGCUGAGGCGCGAAAGCCAGGGGAGCGAACGGG